AAGCGCUUGUGACCAGACUUGUGCCCGGCGGAUCAACCAGCGUUCUCGCUGGUGCACUCCUCCGGGCUCAGGCCAGCAUCAGUUUUCCCCGGGGGAUAAAGGCGGCGGGAAUGUGGCUCUCUUCGGGGAGUGUUAUAGCCCACCGUGUAAUACCCUGGGGGGGACUGAGGUUCGCGCAUCUGCAAGGAUGCUGGCGUAAUGGUCAUCAACGA
rnacentral:rRNA from 1 species